UGGGGAAUUUUGGACAAUGGGCGAAAGCCUGAUCCAGCAAUGCCGCGUGUGUGAAGAAGGCCUUCGGGUUGUAAAGCACUUUUGUCCGGAAAGAAAUCCUUGGCUCUAAUACAGUCGGGGGAUGACGGUACCGGAAGAAUAAGCACCGGCUAACUACGUGCCAGCAGCCGCGGUAAUACGUAGGGUGCAAGCGUUAAUCGGAAUUACUGGGCGUAAAGCGUGCGCAGGCGGUUUGCUAAGACCGAUGUGAAAUCCCCGGGCUCAACCUGGGAACUGCAUUGGUGACUGGCAGGCUAGAGUAUGGCAGAGGGGGGUAGAAUUCCACGUGUAGCAGUGAAAUGCGUAGAGAUGUGGAGGAAUACCGAUGGCGAAGGCAGCCCCCUGGGCCAAUACUGACGCUCAUGCACGGAAGCGUGGGGAGCAAACAGGAUUAGAUACCCUGGUAGUCCACGCCCUAAACGAUGUCAACUAGUUGUUGGGGAUUCAUUUCCUUAGUAACGUAGCUAACGCGUGAAGUUGACCGCCUGGGGAGUACGGUCGCAAGAUUAAAACUCAAAGGAAUUGACGGGGUCAUAGCUGUUUCCU
rnacentral:rRNA from 1 species